rnacentral:rRNA from 1 species
AGUGAACGCUGGCGGUAGGCCUAACACAUGCAAGUCGAACGGCAACACAGUAAGAGCUUGCCCUUACGGGUGGCGAGUGGCGGACGGGUGAGGAAUACAUCGGAAUCUACUUUUUCGUGGGGGACAACGUAGGGAAACUUACGCUAAUACCGCAUAUGAUCUACGGGUGAAAGCAGGGGAUCUUCGGACCUUUCGCGAUUGUAUGAGCCGAUGUCGGAUUAGCUAGUUGGCGGGGUAAAGGCCCACCAAGGCGACGAUCCGUAGCUGGUCUGAGAGGAUGAUCAGCCACACUGGAACUGAGACACGGUCCAGACUCCUACGGGAGGCAGCAGUGGGGAAUAUUGGACAAUGGGCGCAAGCCUGAUCCAGCCAUACCGCGUGGGUGAAGAAGGCCUUCGGGUUGUAAAGCCCUUUUGUUGGGAAAGAAAAGCAGCAGGUUAAUACCCCGCUGUUCUGACGGUACCCAAAGAAUAAGCACCGGCUAACUUCGUG